AUUCAGCUGAGGAGUCCCAAAGUAGGACGAAACGCCCCUCCUGGAU
rnacentral:hammerhead_ribozyme from 1 species